AUAACUCCGAGAAAUCGGGGCUAAUACUGGAUAUGACCUUGNCCCGCAUGGGUUGUGGUGGAAARUUUUUCGGUGGGGGAUGGGCUCGCGGCCUAUCAGUUUGUUGGUGAGGUAGUGGCUCACCAAGGCGAUGACGGGUAGCCGGCCUGAGAGGGCGACCGGCCACACUGGGACUGAGACACGGCCCAGACUCCUACGGGAGGCAGCAGUGGGGAAUAUUGCACAAUGGGCGAAAGCCUGAUGCAGCGACGCCGCGUGGGGGAUGACGGCCUUCGGGUUGUAAACCUCUUUCAGCAAGGAAGAAGCGAAAGUGACGGUACUUGCAGAAGAAGCGCCGGCUAACUACGUGCCAGCAGCCGCGGUAAUACGUAGGGCGCAAGCGUUGUCCGGAAUUAUUGGGCGUAAAGGGCUUGUAGGUGGCUUGUCGCGUCUGCCGUGAAAACUCGAGGCUUAACYUUGGGCGUGCGGUGGGUACGGGCAGGCUAGAGUGCGGUAGGGGAGACUGGAAUUCCUGGUGUAGCGGUGAAAUGCGCARAUAUCAGGAGGAACACCGAUGGCGAARGCAGGUCCUCUGGGCCGUUACUGACACUGAGAARCGAAAGCAUGGGGAGCGAACAGGAUUAGAUACCCUGGUAGUCCAUGCCGUAAACGU
rnacentral:rRNA from 1 species